AUCGGUGCUUUGAACUGCAGUGGUAAGGAAAUACAGGCACUGAAAAGUCAAGACUUUAAGACGAUCUCCAGAUGCAAUAACCUCAAAAUUAAAAUUUUGCAUCAUGGUUUGUUUAUUCUAAGGAAAUACAGGUGCAGAAUGAUGAACAAAAUAGGCACAUUUGCUUGAGCACAGAGGUGCUUGUGCCAGCCACCACCCUGCCUUGCUGGAGAAAUCUCCAAAUUUCCACACCUUCGUACAGGAUGUUCCUGACUACAGCUGUUAAAUAACACCUAAAUACCUGUUGGAUAUUACAUAAGGUCUGCUCUCGGAUCAUUUUUUUGUCUAUUUUUAAAUAUUCCAGGUUGAUUUCACUGCUGCACCCCCCCAGCGAGCCCUCUAGAUGGUGCUCGGCACCAAGAGGCGCCUCCAACGCCAUCACAGACGCAAGGCUUUGGAGGGGACGACAUCGCCUUUGUUUCCAAAUUCUGCUUUAAAGCAAUUCCUCGUUGGGCUGCUCGUUCCUCACGGUGUCAACGUGAUGCCUCUUCCACCCGAAAACCUGAAACCCCUUCGCCAGAUCCCAAAGGCCGCUUGGCUGGAGGCCUCUGGCAGCCUGCACGGCCUGGCUCGGCGGCCUGGCGGCAGCCAUUAGCUGGCCUUGGCUGCUCCCUGCGUGCAUCCCCGCUGCACUUGGGGGGACUUCGAUUUGCACUUUCCCAAGAAAUGAACCCUCUCCGAGUGUCGUGUAAACGUUCCCGUCUCUAUUUUACAUACCCAUGGAUGUCAGAUUUCGGAUAUGGGUGAAACGCGUGUGAAAAGGGGAGACAGCCGCUCACGUAGCUCUGAGCUCUGUAAAUAGGGCAGGGCCUGAUCCUGCGUUUUCGGCUCCUCCUGCAAGCGCCGAGCAGCGGAGGCUCUCCAUAGCUUUGCAGUCUGGGCACACGGCGCCUGCCUGUACGGCUGGGAAUUCAUCACGGCUGUCCCCGCGUAGCUGGGUAUGCAAAUGGCACUGCCACGGCCUCAGCCAGGCAGAUAACAUACACAGAGCGAUGCCUCCCUGUACCCCGUCCCCUUUCUCUGCUAUGUUGUCAGGGGGUGUGUGCUUUAGUUCUGUUUCUCAGUUUUACAGAAGUAAUAGGUGAAGGGGCCACCAAGCUUCAUAGAUUUUUUAAAAGUGCUGGGGUUUUAUAUUGAAAAAAAAAAAAAAAAAAAAAGUAUAAAGACUUUAAAAAUGUUUUUUAUCUGUUUAUCGAUAUCCAUAAGAUGUAAACAUUGUAAAGAAGCUCAUUAAUACCUUUAUAAUGGUCUUAUAACAAAUAGAAAUUAAAUAUAAAUUACCGCAUGAGGUGACGAAUUAGAAAGCUGUCUUGUACAAGUUUGCCCACAGGAGUCUGAGUUUACAACAAAUUUUCAGAGCCACCAAUAAAACGAAUGCUCCAGUCUGAUGAGGAGGAGAAUGAAA